GGAGGAAAGCAGGGGAUCGCAAGACCUUGCGCUCAUUGAGCGGCCGAUGCCUGAUUAGCUAGUUGGUGAGGUAAAGGCUUACCAAGGCGACGAUCAGUAGCUGGUCUGAGAGGACGACCAGCCACACUGGGACUGAGACACGGCCCAGACUCCUACGGGAGGCAGCAGUGGGGAAUUUUGGACAAUGGGGGAAACCCUGAUCCAGCCAUGCCGCGUGAGUGAAGAAGGCCUUCGGGUUGUAAAGCUCUUUCAGCCGGAACGAAACGGUCACGGCUAAUACCUGUGACUACUGACGGUACCGGAAGAAGAAGCACCGGCUAACUACGUGCCAGCAGCCGCGGUAAUACGUAGGGUGCGAGCGUUAAUCGGAAUUACUGGGCGUAAAGCGUGCGCAGGCGGUUUUGUAAGUCAGAAGAGAAAUCCCCGGGCUUAACCUGGGAACUGCGUUCAUAAAAGGAAGCUAGAAGGGC
rnacentral:rRNA from 1 species